rnacentral:rRNA from 1 species
UACAGAGGUGCCAAGCGUUAGGCGGAAUCACUGGGCUUAAAGCGCGUGUAGGCGGGUCGUUAAGUGUCCGAGUGAAAUCCCACGGCUCAACCGUGGAACUGCCGGGCAUACUGGCGAUCUUGAGGCAUUCAGGGGCGAGCGGAACAAAUGGUGGAGCGGUGAAAUGCGUAGAUAUCAGGAGGAACACCGAUGGCGAAGGCAGGUCUCUGGGCCACUACUGACGCUGAGAAGCGAAAGCAUGGGGAGCGAACAGG